AACUGACAUGGCCACUCGCAAGCCAAUAGGUUUGGAUUCCGUGAUGUUUGAACUAGGAACCAAAUCCAACCAUUUUUCCACUGUAAGAUUGGAGUCAGGUGACAGGAAGUCUUCCAGAGAUAUGAAAGUGGUGCCCAUUUUCUUGGAUAAUUUUGUGAGGGAUGAAACAGAAGAUGAGGACAUGAGUUCAAAGAGCAGGUUCCCAGUAGGCUGACACUGGAAGGAUGCCACUUGUUUCUCACCAGACUCAGAGAAAAUUU
rnacentral:lncRNA from 1 species